AUUGAACGCUGGCGGCAUGCUUUACACAUGCAAGUCGAACGGUAACAGGGAGCUUGCUCCGCUGACGAGUGGCGAACGGGUGAGUAAUGCAUCGGAACGUACCCAGUCGUGGGGGAUAACGUAGCGAAAGUUACGCUAAUACCGCAUACGUCCUGAGGGAGAAAGCGGGGGACCGUAAGGCCUCGCGCGAUUGGAGCGGCCGAUGUCGGAUUAGCUAGUUGGUAGGGUAAAGGCCUACCAAGGCGACGAUCCGUAGCGGGUCUGAGAGGAUGAUCCGCCACACUGGGACUGAGACACGGCCCAGACUCCUACGGGAGGCAGCAGUGGGAAUUUUGGACAAGUGGGGGAAACCCUGAUCCAGCCAUGCCGCGUGAGUGAAGAA
rnacentral:rRNA from 1 species